rnacentral:rRNA from 1 species
UACGUAGGGGGCAAGCGUUGUCCGGAUUUAUUGGGCGUAAAGCGCUCGCAGGUGGUUCAUUGCGUCGUGCGUGAAAGACCCCGGCUCAACUGGGGAGUGUCGUGCGAAACGGGUGAACUAGAGGCCAGUAGGGGGAUGCGGAAUUCCGGGUGUAGUGGUGGAAUGCGCAGAUAUCGGGAAGAACACCCGUGGCGAAGGCGGCUCUCUGGGACGGUACUGACGCUGAGACGCGAAAGCGUGGGGAGCGAACAGG